UAGAUACCCUGGUAGUCCACACCGUAAACGAUGGAUACUAGGAGUUGGCAAAAAUAUUGUCGGUUCCGCAGUUAACGCAUUAAGUAUCCCACCUGGGGAGUACGACCGCAAGGUUAAAACUCAAAGGAAUUGACGGGGGCCCGCACAAGCAGUGGAGUAUGUGGUUUAAUUCGAAGCAACGCGAAGAACCUUACCAGGGCUUGACAUAUACAGGAAUAUAUAAGAGAUUAUAUAGCUCUACGGAGUCUGU
rnacentral:rRNA from 1 species